rnacentral:sRNA from 1 species
GCUGGGUGUGGCAUGCAUGCCUGUAGUCCCAGCUACUCUGAAGGCCAAGGCAGGAGGAUCACUUGAGCCCAGCAGUUUGAGACCAGCCUGGGCAAUAUAGUGAAAUCCCAUCUCAG